GAAAGGCCCCUUCGGGGGUACUCGAGUGGCGAACGGGUGAGUAACACGUGGGCAAUCUGCCCUGCACUUCGGGAUAAGCCUGGGAAACUGGGUCUAAUACCGGAUAGGACCUUUAGGCGCAUGUCUUUAGGUGGAAAGCUUUUGCGGUGUGGGAUGGGCCCGCGGCCUAUCAGCUUGUUGGUGGGGUGAUGGCCUACCAAGGCGACGACGGGUAGCCGGCCUGAGAGGGUGUCCGGCCACACUGGGACUGAGAUACGGCCCAGACUCCUACGGGAGGCAGCAGUGGGGAAUAUUGCACAAUGGGCGCAAGCCUGAUGCAGCGACGCCGCGUGGGGGAUGACGGCCUUCGGGUUGUAAACCUCUUUCACCAUCGACGAAGGUCCGGGUUUUCUCGGAUUGACGGUAGGUGGAGAAGAAGCACCGGCCAACUACGUGCCAGCAGCCGCGGUAAUACGUAGGGUGCGAGCGUUGUCCGGAAUUACUGGGCGUAAAGAGCUCGUAGGUGGUUUGUCGCGUUGUUCGUGAAAUCUCACGGCUUAACUGUGAGCGUGCGGGCGAUACGGGCAGACUAGAGUACUGCAGGGGAGACUGGAAUUCCUGGUGUAGCGGUGGAAUGCGCAGAUAUCAGGAGGAACACCGGUGGCGAAGGCGGGUCUCUGGGCAGUAACUGACGCUGAGGAGCGAAAGCGUGGGGAGCGAACAGGAUUAGAUACCCUGGUAGUCCACGCCGUACACGGUGGGUACUAGGUGUGGGUUUCCUUCCUUGGGAUCCGUGCCGUAGCUGACGCAUUAAGUACCCCGCCUGGGGAGUAUGGCCGCAAGGCUAAAACUCAAGGAUUUGACAGGGGCCCGCACAAGCGGCGGAGCAUGUGGAUUAAUUCGAUGCAACGCGAGGACCUUACCUGGGUUUGACAUGCACAGGACGCGUCUAGAGAUAGCGUCCUG
rnacentral:rRNA from 1 species